GGUGAGGCAGUACUGCGGCAGCAUUCCGGGAAGGCCGUCAAGCUUAACAAAGGAAGUCUUCAAAUGAUGGGAUGCGGAAAGAAGAAGAUUAAAGAGGAAAAUAAAAGAUGAAGAGGAGCAGAUAUAUACCUGUAGGAAGUUGGUGACACUGUUCAACAGUGUGGGCAGCGCCCGGCUGGCGACGACAGCAUCGACCUCGAUGGAGAGAUCCUGGUACCUGACCUCGAUGGCUGGGAGCUCGAUGCCAACCGCAUCCACCCGCUCCCUGAGCGUCCUGAGGAACUGCUCGCUGUCAUCCUGAAAGACGCGCUCCAGCAGGGCGCGGCCGGCUUCCCCGCUGGCGAGAUGCUGGAUGUCCACCAGGCCCGUGCCUUCCUCGUUGUGGGUGUGGAGCUCAUGGUCGUGGUCGUCGCGGAGGACAGCCCGGCGCAUGCGGUCGUAGGUGGGCAGCUUCUCGAGCGCCGCCCAGCGGAGGUUCUCCUCGUCGUCCUGGUCAUGCCGGGAUGCGGCGCGCUGGAAGGGGUCAUCCGUGUCUGGCUGCCGGAGCGAGCGUGCGAUGGAUGAGCUCCAGCUCGUGUUGCUGCGGCGGCUGCCGGACAGUGCCCCCGGCAAGCCCCCUAACCCGACGCUUGCCAUGUCUACCUUUCCUCUAGUGCUAGCGAGCUAGGUGUUCAAGAGAAGCAGCUGGGAUUGAUGUCAGCUGGGAUUGUUGUUGCAUGUGCAAACGUUAGAUAUGGUUGUGCAUGUUAAAACGAUGGAUCUCCUGGCUUUGCUUUA